rnacentral:tRNA from 1 species
GGGGCUGCUGUGGAGUGGGAUCCUCGCGGGCCUGUAGAGUCCGUGCCUUCGCGCUAGGCCGUUCGAUUCGGUACAGCCCCACCA